GUGGGGAAUAUUGGACAAUGGGCGAAAGCCUGAUCCAGCCAUGCCGCGUGUGUGAAGAAGGUCUUCGGAUUGUAAAGCACUUUAAGUUGGGAGGAAGGGCAGUAAGUUAAUACCUUGCUGUUUUGACGUUACCGACAGAAUAAGCACCGGCUAACUUCGUGCCAGCAGCCGCGGUAAUACGAAGGGUGCAAGCGUUAAUCGGAAUUACUGGGCGUAAAUCGCGCGUAGGUGGUUUUGUAAGUUGGAGGUGAAAUCCCCGGGCUCAACCUGGGAACUGCCUCCAAAACUGCAUGACUAGAGUACGGUAGAGGGUAGUGGAAUUUCCUGUGUAGCGGUGAAAUGCGUAGAUAUAGGAAGGAACACCAGUGGCGAAGGCGACUACCUGGACUGAUACUGACACUGAGGUGCGAAAGCGUGGGGAGCAAACAGGAUUAGAUACCCGUGUAGUCC
rnacentral:rRNA from 1 species